AAGUUUUAUUUAAGUGUAGUUGAUUUAUAAGGUUGUGAUAAUUUCUGCUGUACAACAAAGUGAAUCAGUUAUAUAAAUAUACACAUCCAUCCUCUUUCAGAUUCUUUUUCCAUAGAUUAUCACAGACUGUUGGGUAGAGUUCUCUGUGCUAUAUAGCAGGUCUUGGUUGGCUAAUCAUUCCAUAUACAUCAGUGUGCAUAGGCUAAUGCCAAACCUAUAGACCAUCUGUUCCCCCACCGAUCUGUCCCUUUGGUAACCAUAAGUUUGUUUUCAAAGUCUGUGAGUCUGUUUCUGUUCUGAAAAAUUUGCAUACUUUUUCAUAUUCCACAUAUAAGUGAUAACAUAUGAUGUCCAUCUUUCACUUCUGACUUACUUUACUUAGUAUGAUAAUCUCUAGGUCUACCCAUAUUGCUGCAAAUGGCAUGAUUUCAUUUUUUUAUGGCUGAGGAAUAUUCCCUUGUAUACAUGUGCCACAUCUUCUUUCAUCUUCCAUUGGUCUUUUUUUCAUAUAGCAGCCAGAGUGAUUCUUUUAAAAUAUAGGAUCUCUCCCCAAAACCUUUCCAUGGAUUUUCAUAAAAUUCAGAAUAAAAGCCACAGUCCAUACCAUGGUCCACUUGACUCUGCAGGAUCUUGCCAUUGGCAGCCUUCAGAUCCCAGCACUAGCUGCUCACCUCCUCCUGGCUGUGUUCCAGCCAUGCUGCUGCUAUAAUUGCCCAAGCACAUCCUCACCCUAGAGUCUGCAUGCUGUUCCUCUGCCCAUCCUCCUCUUUCCAACAACUGCAGUGGGUGAUCUCUCACUUCAUCUCUGUCUGAUCCGAGGUCUUCCCUGAAAAGCCUGUCUGACACUGGCCCACCAUGCAUCAUUCACCUUGAUUGGCUAUAUUCUCCACUGAGCAUAAAUUAAAUGAGGGCAAUUUCUUUGCUUUUGAUCCUUAUUUCAUGUCCAAUGUCCAGAGAGGAUUUGGCACAUGGUAGGCUAUCAAUAAAUAUUGUUGAAUGAAUGAAUGAAUGAAUGAAUGUCUUUAUUACCACUAUUCUGGUUUAAGCCACUGUGGCCUCUCGCCUAACAAUUCAAUAAUCUCCUAGUGGGUCUUCCAGCUUCCAUGUUUGCCUCUUCCAGUCUGACCUCCAUAGAGAAGACAGCAUUCUGUUUUAUAUAUGUUAAUCAGGUCAAGUUAUUCUCCUGCAUGAAACUUCCCAGUGGUAAUUUGUCAAACAAUGCAAUCCAAAUAUAGCAUAAUACAUAUACUAAAUUAUACACUACAUCCAAACUCUUUCUAUAUAGUAUAGGGAGGUGGAUUUGAGCUCUCUCCUGCCUAUCUCUCAGCAGCUGACUCCACACAUCCACCUUCACCAGUACACUCCAGCCAUAGCGACCCGCAAGCACCUCUAGCCCACUUCCAUCUUAGGGGCUUUUUUUAUACUGUUAGGUCCUUUUUUUGGGGAAUACUUACACCCCAAUCUUCACAAGGCUGGCUUGUUUUUGGUCCUUGGAACUUCAGCUUAAAUAUCACCUUAGCAGAAGGGACUUCCCUGUCUUCCUAGUACAAUGUAGACACCAGUCAUCACUGUCUCCGUAGCCCUAAUCUUGACCUAAUAUUUUUCUUAUUCAUUGGUGAUGGUCUGCCUCGCUCCCUCCCAUCUCACCUAGAAUAUAAGCUCCCAGACAUGAGGGAUUGUGCUGUCCUUGUUCUGCAUGGUGUCCCUAACAUCUAGGAUGGUAGUUGGCACAUACUAGGUGCUUAAUAUUUAUUUCUUGCAUCCAAUAGUUAAUAUUUUAUACUAUCUGAUACUAAACACCAUUUCUAGUGAGAGGAAGAUAUCCUGGUAAAGUUGCAUAUAGUUUGUUUCGUCCUUCCAAAUGAGUACAAUUUUCAAUUGGGACAAAUUUUCCAAUUAACCUAAAACGAUGUUCCCUCACAAGUCACACAUCCACCACAUCUGCUGAGUCUUCUGAGUAGGACCUUUCUAGUGACUUGGGUUAUACAGAUUUUAUUUUCCUCUACUAAGUGGCUAUUAUCCACACAAUGAUCAAAAGACCUUACAGAUGGACAGUAACUUAGGGUUUAUAGAAUCAGUUAUAAAAGCGAGCCUUUGAUCUGCCCCCAAACCCUGCAUUCAUUAGCGUUGUGUGUUAAGAUGGAGAGCAAGUGCAAAGAGGUAAAUGACUUUCCCAAGAACACAGGGCAAGGAAAUGGU
rnacentral:lncRNA from 1 species